UUUGUCUUUGUGUUGUGAUGUGGGUAGUGUGUGUGUGUUUAUUUGUGGGCACACUACCCACAUCACAACACAAAGACAAA
rnacentral:pre_miRNA from 1 species